CCUAAAAAAUCAAGGAAGUGUCAAACAGUAUUUAAACAGCGAACAAUUAAACUUUUUACUAAGUAUUCUACUGAAUGACCCUAAUUAGAAACCAAAAAAACUCCCAGAUAUGUAGGUUUUAAAAAAAAAGGUGAAUAAAAAGUUUUAAUUAAAGCUGUCAGGAAAAUAGACUUGUUUAAUAAAGGUGAUUAGAAAGUCUUCAUUGAUACCAUUCACAGGAAACGUGUCAAGUUCAUUUAAAAUGUUAUGUCCACUGAAAGGUGUACUUCCUAAUUUCAUCUUUGGCAAUUUAAAAUGUUUUAAAUAUUAACGUUUCCAAGUUUGAAUAGCUAAUUGUUGGCUGACCUCUUGUGUUAGCUGGCAGUACUACACUGCCUCAAAGUAAGCUUUGAGAAAUACUGAGAAUCAUAAAUACCUUUUGAAAACUGGAGUGCAACAUAAUGGGUACACAAAGAUAAUUAAACAACAUACUUAGCAAACAAUGACCACACACCCAGAAAGCUUACCAAAUUUGAAGAGAUAUCUAUUUCUGCUUUUUUCUGACCUUUACAUCAGGUCCAGCAGACAUCCUGUCUACCUAAAUCACAGAAUUUACUAUUAUAAAAUCAAGUCUCCAUGGAUGCAGAGCCAGUAAUGGGCAGGGGCCACAGCAGAACACAAGCCACAGGAGCAUGUGUUAUUUUGUUUGGUCUCUUAAUUUUUAUUUGUAAAAUACACCGAAACACAAAGUAAAAAUUAUCUGUAAUUUUACUAAUUUUUUUAAAAAAGUGAUUUUCAAUUACUUCUUGUUGCUGCAAUUGUACUUUUACCUGGCAGUCUACCUAAUCCCUAAGAAGGGGUUUUCUUUCUGACUGAAUGAGAAUCAUAGAUGACUGAGUGUUAGGAGAGAUGGGUGACUUGGGCAAUCCCCACCUGUCCUAGAAAAAAAAUUCAGGCCUAGAGGUAAGGAACUGAACAAGACCAAAACAUGACAGGGAGGAGAACGGAAUCCAGAGAUUUCUCAUUCUCUAGUUGUUGAUGUUUUUGUGAUUAAACAUUAAAUUUAGAAAAUCUCAACAGUCUCUCUCAUGGGAAUUAGUAAAUUUGAGCAUAAAUCAAGGAAAUGUCUUACCUUUGGAGGCUUGAACGGAUAUUCUGGUGUAAAAGUGAUAUCGAGAAAGAAUACACCACCCUCGUACACGGAUCCUGGAGGCCCUAGAAUGGUUGAUCUCCAUUCAUAGAUGUUAUCGCCUUUGGGACCAGCACUGUGAACAGUACAUCAACAGAUAAGCAGAUGGUGGCACUAUGCUUUUUUUUUUUUUUUUUUUU